UACGUAGGUGGCAAGCGUUGUCCGGAAUUAUUGGGCGUAAAGCGCGCGCAGGUGGUUCGUUAAGUCUGAUGUGAAAGCCCACGGCUCAACCGUGGAGGGUCAUUGGAAACUGGGGAACUUGAGUGCAGAAGAGGAAAGUGGAAUUCCAAGUGUAGCGGUGAAAUGCGUAGAGAUUUGGAGGAACACCAGUGGCGAAGGCGACUUUCUGGUCUGUAACUGACACUGAGGCGCGAAAGCGUGGGGAGCAAACAGG
rnacentral:rRNA from 1 species